UAAUCCCGGAUCUCAUUUGAAUGGAACCUUGCUUGCAAACAACGCUUCCUGCAAGGUAUUUGGCGAAGCUGUUCUUGAGGUUGGUUUAGAUGACUGUGAUGCCUGUGGAAUUGAAUCAAAGAGUUCCAAAGUAGCAGCAGCAAUGCAUGAUGGCAAUCUUUAGUUCCGGUAUGCAUUCCUUAGGAACCAAUGCAUACUGGUUCUCCAUUUCCUGGGCUAGAAUUCUACCUGAUGGGAUGCUCGGCUCAGUCAAUCCAAGAGGGAUCAUCUUUUAUAAUAAAUUUAUAGACCAUCUUCUAAGCAAAGGUAGCUGUGCAUACAUGAGCACUCGAUUUACUAAGAAAGUAGUAAGUUAGUAGCCAAAUUAAACAACGUUUAGUCAUCUAAGUCUGCUACCACGGAGGAAUAGAGCCAUUUGUGACACUUCACCACAAUGACCUGCCCCAAGUACUAGAACAAAGAGACGGGGGUUGGCUCAGUCCGCUAUUAAGGGAAGAGUUUGCACAUUUUGCCUCCAUAUGCUUUGAGAGGAAAAGGCUGACUACUUAAAAAUGGAAGUUGCAGUGACC